AUUGAACGCUGGCGGCAGGCCUAACACAUGCAAGUCGAGCGGAUGAAGGGAGCUUGCUCCUGGAUUCAGCGGCGGACGGGUGAGUAAUGCCUAGGAAUCUGCCUGGUAGUGGGGAUAACGUCCGGAAACGGGCGCUAAUACCGCCUACGUCCUUAGGGAGGAAGUGGGGGAUCUUCCGACCCCACCCUUUCCGAUGAGCCUAGGUCGGAUUAGCUAGUUGGUGGGGUAAAGGCCUACCAAGGCGACGAUCCGUAACUGGUCUGAGAGGAUGAUCAGUCACACUGGAACUGAGACACGGUCCAGACUCCUACGGGAGGCAGCAGUGGGGAAUAUUGGACAAUGGGCGAAAGCCUGAUCCAGCCAUGCCGCGUGUGUGAAGAAGGUCUUCGGAUUGUAAAGCACUUUAAGUUGGGAGGAAGGGCAGUAAGUUAAUACCUUGCUGUUUUGACGUUACCAACAGAAUAAGCACCGGCUAACUUCGUG
rnacentral:rRNA from 1 species